UACGUAGGGGGCGAGCGUUGUCCGGAUUUAUUGGGCGUAAAGAGCGCGUAGGUGGUUUGUAAAGUCGGAUGUGAAAGUCCAGGGCUUAACCCUGGGAUGCCAUUCGAUACUUGCAGACUAGAGCAUGGUAGGGGGAUCUGGAAUUCCUGGUGUAGCGGUGAAAUGCGCAGAUAUCAGGAGGAACACCGGUGGCGAAGGCGGCAUCCUGGACCAAUACUGACGCUGAGGCGCGAAAGCUAGGGGAGCAAACGGG
rnacentral:rRNA from 1 species